rnacentral:rRNA from 1 species
UACGUAGGGCGCAAGCGUUGUCCGGAAUUAUUGGGCGUAAAGAGCUCGUAGGCGGCCUGUUGCGUCCGCUGUGAAAUCCCGGGGCUCAACCCCGGGCGUGCAGUGGGUACGGGCAGACUAGAGUGCGGUAGGGGAGAUUGGAAUUCCUGGUGUAGCGGUGGAAUGCGCAGAUAUCAGGAGGAACACCGAUGGCGAAGGCAGAUCUCUGGGCCGUAACUGACGCUGAGGAGCGAAAGCGUGGGGAGCGAACAGG